rnacentral:lncRNA from 1 species
CAGGGUGUUGCUGUGUGGUUCAGGCUGGCCUUGAGCUCACUAUGUAGUCCAGGCUGGCCUUGAACUUGUAGGAUCCUCCAGCCUCGCCCUCUGAGUGCCAGGAUUACUGGUGUGCACCACGCCCAGUUUACAUCAAUGUUACCAUGAACACAGUGGGGUGUGUGUGAGCCUUUGGCUGCUUGUACUGUGUGGAAAAUCCUGGACCAGCCUUUGGCUCAAGUGGGCAUCUGCUCUGCUCCCCCUGGGAAGUUUGUGAAGAAUUGACUCCUAUAAUUCAUUAUACCCACAGGAGAAUUCAGUGCUGAAGACAACUUCAGUCUGGACAGGGCCUUUUCCUUGCGUGUAGAGUUUUAGAGUGGAUACAGUGUCUCCUGUGAGUGCAGUUGUAAAAUUGAUAGGAUGUACUUGCAAGUCUCGCGGCUUCUCCCCGGGACUCGUGGGCAGCGGCGGCCCGGUGUCAGACCAGGGUGCCAGAUCUGGGACACGGAACCGCCCUGGGCUCAGUCGCCGGCACCCCUUCGGUUGACUUUGCCUCUCUGUUGCUCCCCAGCCCCUGCUGCGUCGGUGAACGUGAGGUUCACCCUCCACCUCACCCUCUCCCAGUUUAUAAAGCGACCGUCUUGCUUUGAACCUGGGUGGCUCUGGGACCCUGGGGCUCUGCCUUCCCACCCACUACACCUCUCCCAGCCUUGGCCCCUGCUACACUUGUGGCCAGGGGGCAGCUGGCUUGGUGCAGAGCCCCUGUGGCAUCUCGGAGGGACUGAACAGUGUGUCCGCGAGUUAACCUCCACUGCCCCGGUCCCUGUUGGUGGAAGGAAUCGUAACGGUCCCUGCGUGUGUGAGGUCCACAUCCAGCCCUGGAAGGGCCCCGAGCAUGGUGUAAUCGGGGGGGGGGGACAGGAGUGGACGUGGGGGGCACAGAAGGCCACUUAG